GACAGCAGUAGCCACGGUAAUACGGAGGAUCCAAGCGUUAUCCGGAAUCAUUGGGUUUAAAGGGUCCGUAGGCGGUCUUGUAAGUCAGUGGUGAAAGCCCAUCGCUCAACGGUGGAACGGCCAUUGAUACUGCAGGACUUGAAUUAUUGGGAAGUAACUAGAAUAUGUAGUGUAGCGGUGAAAUGCUUAGAGAUUACAUGGAAUACCAAUUGCGAAGGCAGGUUACUACCAAUUGAUUGACGCUGAUGGACGAAAGCGUGGGUAGCGAACAGGAUUAGAUACCCCCGUAGUCCCUGUCUCUUAUAC
rnacentral:rRNA from 1 species